UAAAGAAUAAGCUAAUUAAGCUAGUGGGUUCAUACCCCAAAUAUGAGAAUAUAUUCUCUUCUUUAA
rnacentral:tRNA from 1 species